GGGGAAUAUUGGACAAUGGGCGAAAGCCUGAUCCAGCCAUGCCGCGUGUGUGAAGAAGGUCUUCGGAUUGUAAAGCACUUUAAGUUGGGAGGAAGAGCAGUUACCUAAUACGUGAUUGUUUUGACGGUACCUUAUUAGAAAGCCACGGCUAACUACGUGCCAGCAGCCGCGGUAAUACGUAGGUGGCAAGCGUUGUCCGGAAUUAUUGGGCGUAAAGCGCGCGCAGGUGGUUUCUUAAGUCUGAUGUGAAAGCCCACGGCUUAACCGUGGAGGGUCAUUGGAAACUGGGAGACUUGAGUGCAGAAGAGGAAAGUGGAAUUCCAAGUGUAGCGGUGAAAUGCGUAGAGAUUUGGAGGAACACCAGUGGCGAAGGCGACUUUCUGGUCUGCAACUGACGCUGAGGCGCGAAAGCAUGGGGAGCAAACA
rnacentral:rRNA from 1 species